rnacentral:rRNA from 1 species
GAUGAACGCUGGCGGCGUGCCUAAUACAUGCAAGUCGAACGAAUAGCUAAAGGUGUUUGUCCUUUUACGGUGAGUGCCGACGGGGUGAGUACACCGUGGACACCUUGCUAUAAGGCUGGGGUUAACACUUGAAAACAGAUGCAAAUACCGAAUAUAUCUUAGUGCCCAUUGUUCAAUAGUUAAAAGCCGCUUUGCUGUCACUUAGAGAUGGAUCCGCGGUGCAUUAGCUAGUUGGUGAGGUAAAGGCCUACCAAGGCAACGAUGCAUAGCCGAGCUGAGAGACUGAUCGGCCACACUGGAACUGAGACACGGUCCAGACUCCUACGGGAGGCAGCAGUAGGGAAUCUUCCGCAAUGGGCGAAAGCCUGACGGAGCAACGCCGCGUGAGUGAUGAAGGCCUUCGGAUCGUAAAACUCUGUUGUAAGGGAAGAACAGAUAUGUAAGGAAAUGUGUUCGGUUUGACGGUACCAUACCAGAAAGCGACGGCUAAAUACGUG